rnacentral:rRNA from 1 species
GCGCAGCAGUCGCGAAAACUUCACAAUGUGCGAAAGCACGAUGAGGGAAUCCCAAGUGCUUGCACGUAAGUGUAAGCUGUUUCUCUGUCUAAAACGCAGAGAGAGUAAGGGCUGGGUAAGACGGGUGCCAGCCGCCGCGGUAAUACCUGCAGCUCGAGUGGUGACCGUUAUUAUUGGGCCUAAAACGUCCGUAGCCGGUUUAAUAAAUGCCUGGGUAAAUCGGACCGCUUAACGGUUCGAAUUCCGGGUAGACUGUUAAACUUGAGACCGGGAGAAGUUAGAGGUACUCCUGGGGUAGAGGUGAAAUUCUGUAAUCCUAGGGGGACCACCAGUGGCGAAGGCGUCUAACUAGAACGGGUCUGACGGUGAGGGACGAAGCCCUGGGGCGC